rnacentral:rRNA from 1 species
GAUGAACGCUGGCGGCGUGCCUAAUACAUGCAAGUCGAGCGGAGCGGCGGGCGGGUGAGUAAUGCCUAGGAAUCUGCCUGGUAGUGGGGGAUAACGUCCGGACACGGGCGCUAAUACCGCAUACUAUCAGAUGAGCCUAGGUCGGAUUAGCUCGUUGGUGGGGUAAGGGCCUACCAAGGCGACGAUCCGUAACGGGUCUGCGAGGAUGAUCAGGCACACUGGAACUUAGACACGGUCCAGACUCCUACGGUAGGCAGCAGUGGGGAAUAUUGGACAAUGGGCGAAAGCCUGAUCCAGCCAUGCCGCGUGUGUGAAGAAGGUCUUCGGAUUGUAAAGCACUUUAAGUUGGGAGGCGGUACCAUCAGAAUAAGCACCGGCUAACUUCGUGCCAGCAGCCGCGGUAAUAC